rnacentral:rRNA from 1 species
UACGUAGGUGGCAAGCGUUGUCCGGAAUUAUUGGGCGUAAAGCGCGCGCAGGCGGUCCUUUAAGUCUGAUGUGAAAGCCCACGGCUCAACCGUGGAGGGUUAUUGGAAACUGGGGGACUUGAGUACAGAAGAGGAAAGCGGAAUUCCACGUGUAGCGGUGAAAUGCGUAGAGAUGUGGAGGAACACCAGUGGCGAAGGCGGCUUUCUGGUCUGUAACUGACGCUGAGGCGCGAAAGCGUGGGGAGCAAACAGG